GCAUGACCACUGGAUCGGCCUCCACAGAAAGUCCUCAGAGCACCAUUGGAUGUGGACAGACGGCACUGAAUAUAACAACUUGACUUCCCCCCGAGGAGAAGGAGAGUGUGCCUACCUGAGUGGCAGUGACAUCAGCAGUGGCAGGAACUAUACUCACAGGAGGUGGAUUUGUAGCAAGCCCAACAGUUUCACAGCUUGUGAUGUGCCAAAGCAGUCGUGAGAGGUCUGGAACAUGUUAUCUACAAUGGCAACCUCAUUUCUUUAUCUUAUAAAAUCAUCCAAAUUAAUUCAGAAUCUGUGGUGACUUCAAAGAUGAAAGCAAUCAUGGAAGAUAUGCUUAUAGGUACUUGGGAGGCUAUGCAUGAUCCUAAAUUAUAUAAGUGAUUUGGUAUGAUUGGUCCUUGUCUCUUAAACCUGAAUUACAAUCACAUCAGUAUUAGUGUUCUCCACUUUUAUUUCAAGGUAUGAAAAUUUUUUCAUCCGCUAUUCCUCUGAAUGACUGGUACAUUUAAAAAAAAAAAUGGUGCACAGGAUUGAGCCAAGAGGGCUGAAACAAACAGGGCUCCUGCAGAAGGCCAGAAGAGGAGGCAGAUGUUCCAGUCUCUCCUGCACCGUCUCCCCACAGCUCUGGGUAUCCUGCAUCAGGCCGCAUCACAGGUCUACAGUCGCCAUGGAGGAGCCUCAGUCACUGAUGCCACAGCCCCUGUAACCCAAGCCAGAACUGAAGUGAGCCCUGUUGUUAGAAAAUCAGGGCCGGGUGUCAGAGAGAAUGGUUGACUCUCUGAUAAACGAGCCUUGGCACAUCUGUAAGUUCUGUUAUCAGAACCUUUUAACAAUAUUUGAAGAUUGAUUCAAGAUGGUGUCUAGUAGGGUGGCUUCUUGGUCCCAACUGGAGACACUGCUGCUGUGGAGCUGCCCUUGGGCCACAGGUACAAUGUUCACACCUAAUGAGUCAGCAGACCGGCCUUCACUGAGGGCAGAGAGACGUGCAGAGGCCUGGAGCUCUAGUGGGUCCUGCCCAUAGAUACCCUGUCCAGCUGGAAAUUCACCUUGGCUUUAAGCAGCAUCAGGAUGUCCGUGAUGAAGAAAGGUUCCUUUUCUGGAUUAGGCCUCCUCAAACACUGGCAGGGUGGUGGUCAACAGCAGCCUGGACCUCUCGCAGGCUCUGUCCCCUAAUGCACUUCCCAGCCCCACGACCAGCCUGGCUCUGAGGAGCAGAGAGAUAUCCAAGAUGGAGAAUGGUUCAUUUUCUGGAUUGGGCUCUCUAAAUUUGGUGUUGUCAGGGGCCAUGAGAAUUAUCGCAGGUGACAACUAGCGGUCAGAUGUGAACCCACCAGAGGAGUGACUAUGUGCUGGAGGUUAAUCCUGUCCAGAAAAGGUCUGCAGGACCAUGGACUCUGAAAGCUUUUGAUCGCUCUUGUUAGAGCAGUUUGCUGUCUCCCUGAUACCUGCAUUGUAAUGUGUAAACUCCUGUGACCUGUGUAUGUUCUCUUAUGAUUGCAUCUCAGUCUUACGGACACAUACAUAUAUCUGUGGGUGGUCAGGUAGAUGACUGUUUAGAAGAUUGGGUGAAUGUAAGUCCAGAAGAUGUCUCCAUCAAAAUCAGAAGCAUUUUAGUUUAUGUGUAAGAAAUGACCAAAAGGAAAAUAGAAUCUAAGCCUUGGCUAA